GCAGCCGUGGCCUACUGGUUAGCGCUUUGGACUUGUAACCGGAGGGUUGCCGGUUCGACCCCUACCAGUGGGCCGCA
rnacentral:tRNA from 1 species